AAACAGUAAAUGCUGGCGAUGCUGUGGAGAAAUAGGAAUGCUUUUACAUUGUUGGUAGGAAUGUAAAUUAGUGCUUACGGUUUUUAAAAGGCUUCCAGAGCAGGGGACCCGUAUAUUUAGUCCCAUAGAACACAUCCCUUUACCUGCCUCUUAGCAUUUCAUCCAUCCUUUCUUUAUAUACGUAAUUUCUCCUGGAGUUGAGACAGGAGGUGGCUUGUUACGUGUGUAGAAAAGAGAAAGAAUGGGUGGGUAUGUGAACAAACGGCACUGGGAAAUAGAUGGCAUUGGAAGUGUUGCCACAGCUCUAUGGGAAUUACUUGGAUAUUAUGAUUAAUGGAUAGUCAGACAUCUCUCAAGUAUCAAAGAGUGGUCUUCCCUUAAAGGUUAUUGUUCCCAAGUUUAUCCCUCUCUUGGUGCCCUGGCUCUGGUUUCUUCUAAGUUGCCCCUUGGGUUACUUGUCAUGUGAAUAUCAAGGCCUGAUUCUACCUCUGUGUGAGUUACAAGGGACUGCCUUCCAGUGGAGUUUUGCAGAAUCACAUGUGUCAUAGAGAACAGGUUUUAACGCUGGGCUGUUGUUAGGCUUUAGGGCUAGUGCAGAGAGGCCCCAGAAAGAGCUGAACCUACUGGUGAGGCUUCUUACAAAUCUAAUCAGAGGUGGGGGAAAUUUGGGUGCUGGGAAGAACAGAUUAUGUCCAUGAUUUUAAUGCCCACCUUUAUUUGCAAAGUGAAAGGAGAAAUAUAUUACCCUACUGCAUUUCCUACCCUUCACAUGUCAGCAUAUUUGAUUUUUUUUGGUUUUCAUUUAAAAAAAUGCCCAAAAAAUGUUAAAUAUGCCAAAUAUUUAUUUUUUAAAAAGUAGGCCAAGUAUUAUGUCUUUCUGCUAAAUCUAGUAGGUUCUCUCUCACCCACCUUCUCUCCAACCAGGUGUUUGGAGAAAGGAUCCUUUAUCCAGAAAGGAAUUUUAAACCUCAGAGUUAAGUUCUUCUGCUUGACCUCAGUGCUUCCCUCACUGAAUGUCAUCUUAAGCCAGAAUGUAUUUCAUAGAGUGUUCCUCCUCUUUACUCCUUCCGUCCUUUGAUGCUUUAUGACCCAUGAAAAUAAUGAAAAGUAUUUGUUUUGGCCCCUAGUAUUACCAGGUUUAGGUACUAUUGCUAUCCUGCAUCUUUUUCAUUCUUAUCUCUGCACUAUAGUUCUAUUUCCUUCUUGACUAUUUCACUACUGGAGACAAGUGAGUUAUUUCCCAAGAACUCGUAACUUGCCCUCAGUAUAAGGCUGUGGAUAGACACUCAAGGGCUUUUGGAAUGUUGACUCAUAGGAGCAGUUGCAUUUUGUUACUGGAAUAUAAAGACCUCAUCUUUUAAGGUUUCUUUCUUAACAGUUUUAGAUUCUUGGAUGCUGAAUGUUCACCAGCUCUUCCAGCUAGAUCUGUGGAGUCAGAAUUCCAUGCUCUUUGGGACGUCUGAGAAAGCUAAGGUGCCAUUCCUGUCUCCUCAUUUUGGGGUUCAGAUUGUGAGACAAAAUGCCUGUUGAGACUUCCUGAAAGCAUAGGAAGCAUUGGAGCAGUGGACUCUGGAGUGGCUUCAACAGGCACCUCAGAGCACAGUGGCAGGCUGAGAAUGUCUGCGUGAUCCCACACGAAAAGACUGCCUGGGCCUCGGAAACCACUCCUGCUUGUGUGUUACCUCCUGCUGCUGGACAUGUGUGUGGUGUUUGGUGUUGCCACAGCAUGGAGGGAAAUGGAGAACAAACGGUGUCAGCUCCUUGGAUAUUAGUUAACCUCAUUCAGAUGAUUCUUAGGUGUCCUAUUGGGAAGUAAACCGAUUUCCCUUGUUUCGCCGUAGAACCUGAUUGCUCACAUACAGCAGAGAACGAAUACAUAGCAUAAGGCGCCAAUUGCCAGGCUGACCAGGGUAGUAGGGAACUGGGUCCCACUUCCGUAGCACCCCCAACCCUAUCUUCUAGAGUUGGACUGCACAUUGCUAACUCGGCUUCCUUUUUUUUUUUCUUUUGGAUCUCUUUAGAUUAGAAAAAAUCUGUAUUUGACUUUCCUAUGUUCAUUCUGAUUUCAUUCAGUCCUUCCCUCUGAAGCAGCUCCCCCACUCUCUCCACUUAGCUCCUAUCUUACUUCACCAUAUCUUUUCUAGUCCAUAAAUACUACCUUCCAUCCUUUAUUCUGGUCCUUGAACUCUUUCCUUUAUGCUUCUGUUUUUCCUACCAAUCCCCAACUCAUACAGAACCCUACUGUAGGAAAACAUAACUGAGAAGAAUUUAACUGGGUUUGAAUAAUUAAAUAAAUUCCCAUAUGAAGGUGCAGUUAAUAAUUUUCUAGAUACUUUGUACACAUGACACUGAAAAGCGGUACAGAGUCUAUAAAAUAGCUCACUUGGGGGAAAAUUACCAUUGCUACAUUUUCAGCCUUAAGUCAUAAGGAGUGCAGAUGGUUAGCCAGCCUGUGUUUCUCCCACCCACCUUCGUUUUAAACUGUCCUACCCUGGAGAGAUGGAUGCUUAUAAAGUAAACGAAGAAGACUUUCCUUUACCUCUAGGAUGACAUAGAUUGUGAUUGACAGGGUCCAGGUAGCUCUUAGUAUGUGAAGGGGAGUUAUAAUGUGUUAGACUUUCUUGAUUCAUUCCGUAAACACCUAUUCCUAGUUCUUGUCUGAAUCUGCAUUUAUUUUGCAGCAAAGAUGUCCCCAAAUAAGGUGCCUAUAUAUAGCAACAGAUUCUACUUCCUUACAUCUUGUUUCAGAACAGCUCACACAGUUUUUUAAACACAUUUCAAUGGGCACAGAAUCCAUCGUGGUAGGAAGUAAAACUGUUUUUACAUGUAUAUUCGGUCACUUCCCAGUUUUUUCUUUUUCUUUUUGUUUUUUUCUUGCAAGCUCCUUUUGUCCCGGCUGACUGAGACCUGCAUAACAUCUCAGCCAGCUGAGUUGGACAUUCUGGGGUUUUUGUUAGUGUCUAAAUCUAUGCAGAACAGUA